GGGACUAUAGCUCAGCUGGGAGAGCGCCUGCCUUGCACGCAGGAGGUCAGCGGUUCGAUCCCGCUUAGCUCCA
rnacentral:tRNA from 2 species